rnacentral:tRNA from 1 species
CCUCGUGGCGGGCGCGGCGCUCACGCCGUGGGGAUUCGUGAUCCCCGGCGGCUAUCUCGCGGCGAUCGUCGCGGGCUCGAUACCCGCCGGCAAGGGCC